UUUUUUAAUCUAUAGAAUGUUUCUUCUCAUUCAUUUCGCAUGGUUAUUCGAACGUUACCCAUCUCAAGAUCAUCCAUGGCAUUUCACAGAGGCUUUUAAGACAUAAAUUAUAGGUUGCUGUCCUCCUUUUACCCGCUAAAUAGAAGACCUAAUCACCAUGUCCUGCAUUAAUUUCCUAUUAAAAAAAGAAAAAAAGAAUUCUGUGAUAAACCGAUCAUGGUGAAGCUUUCAAGGCCCUAGAUUCAGAAAACAGAAGUGUUUCUUUCUCGAGCAAAUUCAAGAAAGUUUGUCAGUUCUCAAGCAUUCUUCAAAUGGCAAGUUCCGUUUCCAUUCCCCCCGCUUUAGCAUUCCUUGUCUCUAAUUUUCACUCUCUAGUGACUAUAAAACUAGAUUCAACAAAUUACCUGCUCUAGCGAACACAAGUCUAUAAUGCUUUACACCCUAAUGGAUUCUUGGCUAUUGGUGAUGAUGAUCUUGUGUUCUAUACUAUUAAUGGCUUGCCUCCUGCAUUUAAACAAGUGAGAACUGCAGUAUGAACAAAAGGAGAUGUGAAGUUUGAUGAAAUGGUGACAAUUCGUACCGCUGAAGAUGAGGAGUUAAAGGCUAAUGGAGAUGAACAAAGGAGUUUUACUUCAGUUUUUGUAGGCUGGCUACACAAAAGACUGCAGAAUCUGGAUUGUCUCUGCCUUCAGCACAAAAUUCUCAAGCUCAGUUUUCUACUUCUGUGCCACCACCAAUAUCUGUUAAUACUUUUGCUGUGCUCAAUGUUCUCUUAUUCCUAUGUAUCAAUGGCAACAAAUUCUCACUCCUGGAGGUUAUUAACAAUUUUAUCCACAAUCUCAAUUUGUUCCUAGAGUUUUGGUGGACUGGGAGGUUUUCACAAGAAUAAAGGUGGACAGAAUAUGAGGUUUCAUGGCUCAGGUUUUGGUUAUCAAAGUUCAGGGAAUACAGGAUUUAGAGGUCCUGGUUUUGGAUUUCCUAAUCAGAAUUGGAUCUCAAGGACUUGGUUCGCCAAGUUAUAGCAGCCCAAACAAACCUGGAUGUGAAAUUUGAGGCAAGACAAAUCAUCUAGCUAAUGCUUGCUGUCACAGAGCUAGUCUUCGAUAUCAGCCACAAUAGUUCUCUUUUCCGUCUCAGCAUUGGAGGUCAUUUUCAUUUCAUACAAUGCCUUUUCCUUAUCAACAUCAAGCAUCAACAUCUCACAUAAUGCCUUAUCCUUAGCAACAUCAAGCAUCAAGCUCAGACUCUGGACCAAAUAGGCCAAAUGCAGUGUUACCACAGGCCAACAUUGCUACUUCCUGUCAGUGCCGCCUCAUGUUACCUUGCCAACUCAGAUGCCUAUGCCACCUCAGUUGCCUUAUUCAGUUUCUGAAUAUUCUCAGAUAUCCAAUCCAACCACUCAUUCUUCUGCUUUAUUCUGUUGCUUGUUAACUUUCUCUCGUGAAAUGAAUUUUUUGCUCCUUCUUGAGCUGCAAUUUUUUUUUAUGUAACAUUUGUCUUCCGGUUGGAUGAUUGAUUUGAAAUUAACUUUUCCAUAACAGGUUACGAGCUUUAGGCCAACCUUAUCUUGCUUUCAAUCCUGGCCUUAUGAGAGAUACCUUGGCAUAUCAUGGCUGCACUGAACUUUUUCAGCAUAUUCACACUGAACUUAUACAGUACCGAACAGCACAGAUGAUUAAAUGAGGAAUUGUGAAGGAAGAACUAAAUGUUCAUUCAUAUGUCCGAAAAGCGAAUGGCUCAUGUCCCCUGAUGCCUGAAGAUGAGUACCUAAGAUACUUGACGAGGAUAUAUAUGUUAGCUCAGUUCUUGGAGCUUACAAGUAUGCAACAAAAGUUGUUGCUGGAGCUACCACUUGGUUCACCAGAUACAGUGAUAUUGUUAAGUUCAAAGCCACCUUCUUCUCCCGCACCAAUUACUGUUAACCAGGUGGUUCGACUUCUUGAACGAGUUCAUUAUGCCUUGAAUUGAGUCUCCUCCUCCCGGUUGGCACUCUUUCUCCUUGUUCUAUUACCAGUUUUUCUGAAGAAAUAGCUCUCUAAGUCUCCAAGAGAAGGAAGCUUCUAAAAAUACGAGACAGAGCGACAUAUCUUCGCUUCGUGCUUUUACAGGGCGAAGAAGUCCCUGCAUAAUCGAUGGAAUUGCUAAGUUCCAUAUGUACAGUACAAGUUCAAGAACUCCAAGGAUUGGCACAAAAAACUGAUUUAUUUUGUAGGUGAAUUGGCUUUUGUGCUUUCAUUUGAUAAGAAGAAAUUUUGUGAGAAAGUUGAAAAAUGAAAGUUUAAUUGUGGUAUGAAAUUAAUUUAAAAGAUUCUCAGACAAA